rnacentral:misc_RNA from 1 species
GUAGCAUGCAAUUUCGUGUUAAUGAGUUGUUCAGUGUCAUUGCAAAGACCAGGAAAUGUAGGAUCGCAGGCAGGAGAGAUUGCUAAUAUGAGUAGUCUUCUUGUAGCUUGGUCUCUUACUCCUUUGUCAGGAUUUUGUUUUGAAGAGUAUGUAAGUGGAGAAAUUAUUGGUGUUUCAUCUUUACAUAUUGAGCAGGUUGUAGAGUGACAGUGUUGGAACUUUUGUUUUGCUAGUCUUGGUUAUUUUGACUCUUCAAUUACCCAAAGGUAUUGAUGUCAGAUCACAGAUUGGGAAGUUUGGAUAUUGGUAUGGUACCCCCUUAAAUUAGUUGAGAAGUUUAAAAUUUGGAAAUAAACUAGCCCAACACCUGGACACAUGCCUUUAUCUUGA